GACGAACGCUGGCGGCGUGCUUAACACAUGCAAGUCGAACGGAAAGGCCUCUUUCGGGGGGUACUCGAGUGGCGAACGGGUGAGUAACACGUGAGUAACCUGCCCUUGACUUUGGGAUAACUUCAGGAAACUGGGGCUAAUACCGGAUAGGAGCUCCUGCUGCAUGGUGGGGGUUGGAAAGUUUCGGCGGUUGGGGAUGGACUCGCGGCUUAUCAGCUUGUUGGUGGGGUAGUGGCUUACCAAGGCUUUGACGGGUAGCCGGCCUGAGAGGGUGACCGGCCACAUUGGGACUGAGAUACGGCCCAGACUCCUACGGGAGGCAGCAGUGGGGAAUAGUGCACAAUGGGUGGAAGCCUGAUGCAGCAACGCCGUGUGCGGGAUGACGGCCUUCGGGUUGUAAACCGCUUUCGCUCAUGACGAAGCUUUGUGUGACGGUAGUGGGUAAAGAAGCACCGGCUAACUACGUG
rnacentral:rRNA from 1 species